AAAGAUGAAGGCGAUGCAGCGCUUCUUCGAAGAAGGCGACAAGGUCAAGAUUACCUUGCGCUAUCGGGGACGCGAAAUGGCUCACCAGGAGAUCGGCACAAAGCUGCUCGAAAAGGUGAAGAACGACGUCGCCGAAAUCGCCAAGGUCGAGCAGGACGCCCGCUUCGAAGGCCGGCAGGUCGUGAUGGUGCUGGCACCGCGCUGACGCGGGUCGAGUUUCGAUUUCAGAACGAACAAGGCCCGCCAGCCGAUCUGACGGGCCUUUUUCUUUGACCGGCUUCUUUGGCCGG
rnacentral:misc_RNA from 1 species